GAUGAACGCUAGCUACAGGCUUAACACAUGCAAGUCGAGGGGUAACAAGAGAAAAGCUUGCUUCCCUUGUCGACGACCGGCGCACGGGUGAGCAAUGCGUAUCCAACCUGCCCCCAACUAAGGAAUAACCUUGCGAAAGUAAGACUAAUACCUUAUAAUUUCCUCAGAUGUCAUCUGACGAGGAAUAAAGAUUUAUCGGUUGUGGAUGGGGAUGCGUCUGAUUAGCUUGUUGGCGGGGUAACGGCCCACCAAGGCAACGAUCAGUAGGGGUUCUGAGAGGAAGGUCCCCCACAUUGGAACUGAGACACGGUCCAAACUCCUACGGGAGGCAGCAGUGAGGAAUAUUGGUCAAUGGGCGGAAGCCUGAACCAGCCAAGUAGCGUGCAGGAUGACGGCCCUAUGGGUUGUAAACUGCUUUUAUACAGGAAUAAAGUUAGCCACGUGUGGUUAUUUGUAGGUACUGUAUGAAUAAGGACCGGCUAAUUCCGUGCCAGCCGCCGCCGUAA
rnacentral:rRNA from 1 species